rnacentral:rRNA from 1 species
AUGACGCGAGAGCCGCAAGGAAAAUCCACCAUGGACCGCCAUGCUCCCCGGCCUGCUCUCUCCCAUUCUCUCCCUCUCAAAUUGGUGAACCAGCAGCAAUUGAUGUGCAGCAUCCACGAGCUCCUGCCUCUCCCUGCGGCGUCCAUGGCCGUGAGGUCCACGCCAGCGACUCGCUCCACCCCCUCCCCGGGCCUCCAUCCCAGCACCAACUUUGACAUGGCAAUGCGUAAGGUGGACGGUGCGCGUGGGGACUCGUCGUGGAGCGAGAUCCAGGGGAUCCAUCUGAAGGCUCACCUCCCAUCCACGAGCACGCAGUCUCAUGCGCUUCAGGCGAGAGACGUGCAGCGCCAGCAGUGGUCGCACGACACGCCGGAAGAUCAUGCCGGAGUAGUUGAAGUGCUAAUGGAUCCUCCCAGCAGUACGCCAGAGCCCGGCGUCAAUAGUAAUCUACUGGAUCUCAGCUCCGUCGAUGUAAGGGUUCCAGCACUCGUGUACAUGUGUCGGGAGACGCGCUGCUCCGCACCUCGGCCGUGCUCUCCAACGCACCCUUCAUCUUCAACAUCGACUGCGACCACUAUGGCAACAACCCGCAAGCCCUCCGGACCGUCGUCGGCCUCAUGCUCGACCACGACGGCAGCAACGUGGCGUUCUUCCAGUUCCCCACCGCUCGACGAGCUCUGCCUCCUCUCCACUAUUGCAAGGAGGUUCUUGGUGGCGAGCCCGACCGCUGCUGCGAGGUCAUGCGCGAUUUCCUCCUCGUCUCUGUGCUCGCGACUAGAGACCACCGCCGGCUGGAUCGAGCGAGAGAAAGGGAUCGCCGCUGCUCAACUUGCACAUGAUGUGUUUGGUAAAAUGCCAGAGAGGAGGAGGAGGAAGAAGAACCGGUCAAUUUGCCAGCGUGGCAGUUUUUUUUCCAACUCAGCCUGA